AUGAAAUUGUAGAAAACGAAAACGUAAAAUACGAGACAUUGGAUGGAACGCAAUGUACUGAUGAUCACAUGUACGACUCAGCUAACGUCCAUAGAUCGGGAGAUACAGAUACUGCUGGAUGCGGAAAUUACGUGAACGUUUUACCGUGAAAAAUGUUGAACAACAUGCAGAUAUCUUUAAAGAAGAAAACACAUUUUUUAUAAAGGAUAUAUGAAGAUUCGACGUGGAUUUUAUUAUCAUGAUUUUUUUUUUACUUUUUGUAUUUUGAUAUGGAUAACUUCAAUUAAAUAUUGUUUAGUGUACUUGGAUAUAUGUGUAACAAACGUUUAACAUAAUUGUUUUACUGUUUUUGAUGAUCACUUCUAUCUUUCUAUUUGUUUCUUAUUUGUGAUUGAUUUAAUGUCAUUUUGGAAAUCUGUAAAUAGAACGCUUUCGAUAUCCUUCAAUGCAUCUAUAAUAUUUCCUUUAAUAACUCGAAGAAUUUUAUCUAUUUAUGAGAAAGAUAUCGAUAUAAAUAUAUAUAGUAACUGUCCUUCAUGAAUUAUUUCCCUUUAUUUGUAACGUAUCAAUUAAGUGUUGACACAAAUCAAAUAAACAUUUUUGUUAUUUCUUCUCUAAAAAGAAUGUAAUUAAUUGAUUAUUAUUAUUCAUCUAAGGCUAGUCCUAUGCUUAUAUCCAU